ensembl:lncRNA
CAACAGAAACCUGAGGCGCUCAGGCAGGACUCGUGGUCGGGGACAGAAGGCUGAGGUGCUCACCGGGGCGGAGACAGACGAACGGGUCGGGAACAGGCAGGGUCGAAACCGGGAGAUCAGUCCAAGGUAGAGUGCUGGAGAGACUUGCAUGACGCGAAGAACAAUCUGGCAAUGACAGGCUGGGUGUGCAGUGCUUAUGUAGCGGGGCUGAUUGUGAAUGCGAAGCAGGUGUGGAAGGCAGGAGAGUGACUGAUUGUGGAUGCGGGGCAGGUGUGGAAGAUCGAGCUGGCAGGUGAGUGUGACACAAGGCCUGUUGACUGAGGAACCGCUUCGCCUCAUGAGGCAGGGCCCGUAAGUAUCGAUCCACCACCACAGCCUCUACUACCGCAGGCGCGGUGAGAACAUGCAGACUCCACACUGUGUGUCUGCAUGUUCUCCCCUUGUCUGCGUGGGUUCUCUCCGGGCUCUGGGGAUCAGGUUGAUUGGGGACUCUAAAAUUGCCCACAGGUGUGAAUGUGAAUGGUUGUAUGUCUCUGUUAGCCCUGUGAUUGGCUGGCGACCAGUUCAAGUGUACCCCGUCUCUCGCCCGAAGUUGGCUGGGUUAGACUCCAGCCCCCCCGUGACCCUGUGUGCAGGAUAAGCGGUGUGAAGAUGGAUGGAUGGAUGGAUGGAUUGUUGCCGAUACAAUACAAAUUGCAAAUAAUAAAAAUAAUUCAGUACAUUCAUAGGAGACAGAAAACAAAAAACAAUAUGCAUUAGGUAUAUUCAAAGAUAACAUAAAACUAAAUAAUAUCCAUUCAUUACAUUUGUUAUAAAAAACAACACAAUUACAUGUCAAAGAAUAAGGAAAUCUUACAAGUUUAACCUUGAGUCACCCAUAAGCCUAGUUUCACCCAUAAGCCUAUGUACAGUUUGAGGAAAUUGCACUUUCUUGUUUCUUGUUCCCCUGAGUUUGUACCCUAUAGUUGAAUGCACUUAUUGUACGUCGCUUUGGAUAAAAGCGUCAGCUAAAUGACAUGUAAUGUAAUGUACAGUACCUGUGUAUUGGGGAUAGCUGAUUUUCAUACAUGUCUGUGUCAGGUUGGUCCAAUACAUCGGUCAUGGCUCUAUCCAGUUCAUUCUGCACGGUCUUAUAGAGCUGCGCUGAUCAUGUUGCUGUUAUUGCUGCUGCUUUAUCAAUUCAAUCUGCUGCAGGGGGACCAGAAUUUUUUUGGGAGCGUACUCGUUACUUCCCGCGGUUGAGGAGGCUAAUUAUAAAAGGAAUAGCGACGCCCAAUAACGGUAAACCCCCCCAUCUGAUUGAGCGUCUUUUCUUCUUGUUAAUUCCGAUCUUUUUAUCAGCUAACAGUCUGAUGAGAUUAUUCUUCUUCUUUAAAAGUACAAACUCUUUGUCUGUCAACUAAACAUUACUUCUUAACACGUUGAGGGGUACACAGUGCAUUACUAAAAUCUCCAUUUUCAUUAGCCACAAUAACCUCACACGGGGCGAGGAUUUAUAUAUCAAUUCUAACAAAGUCAAAUUCCUCUGCAUGCGUGGCGUCAUUCGGUGUUGCCUCUUUGUUUUUUUAGGUAAUGUGAGAUGCAUGUAAUGGUAAAAAUAUGUUAUAACCUAGUCUUAUGCUAAAAGAGUGAUUAUUGUCUGUAUUGAAGUGAUGUGCAGAAGCAUAAAGAAGUAAGGCCUCCAUAUGCAGCUGUGUCUGAAGAAGGGAGUUCAAUUACUGUCACACGGACGCUCGAACAAAGGAACAGUGUGUGCUGUCCUCAUCUUAACCUUGGUUCUUAUCUCAACCUAGUUUGCAGCUUCUCGUACCUGGCACUGAGGAUGGCCUUCAUAUGUGUAUAAAAUCUCAGUGUUUUGACUGCUUGGUGACGCCAUUUACACCGAGCGCUGGGAUACGUGCCUGUGUAUUCGACCUCCUGCUUGCAAGCAAUAGUGAGAGCCAGAUAUCUGCGGAGAAAUGCUCAUGUAAACUUUUUCUCUUCUAAAUAAAUGUUAACUUUUUCACUUUAAUUGAUCAACGUGUUGCGAUCCUUCACAUCAACCAACUUGGGGGGAUCGGAGAUCCUGACAAUUUGGGGGCUCGUCCGGGGAUGAGAAGUUUUCCUGCACAGCCGAAUUUGAUCCAAAACGCUUUCACCUGCUGAACGUACUCCCAGGCCGGCCUUAAAACAAGAUAAGCAGAAACCUGUUACAUCUAAUUCUGCAUAUUGAAUAAGCCAAAGUAAGGAGUACGUUGUGGAUUGGUGGUUGUAGGAGCCAUACAUUAGGUUUGAUUAUUCUUUUGUAUUAUUUCAUCUUUCCUUCUACAUCGUUUGUAUGUGCGCGUGUGGUGUGACGUCAUUUGUAUCUACGACACCGUAAGGGGGUGUGGUGUGUAUAUUAGCGUGUGUCUGUUCACCUGUGCGGCACGGCGGGUUGUUCGGACCAUGGCUGCAGGCCGAGCAUGGGGAACAAUCUUUCUUCUGACCGUCAUUGUCAUCGUCACUGGAGUAAUUAUUGUCACUAACGUCACUACGAAGAUUUAUGCGCUGUUGAUCCUCUCUUGACUGAUGAAAGGCAUCUAUCAAUGUAAGUGAUUGGCGUGUAUUCUUUCUGCUGGUGAAACGGAGUAAUAAACAUCAGAUGAAAUACUUUAGUGCGACGCGUGAGUAUAAUCUCCUCAUGUCUUAGCCUGCUGCGGCAAUUCUCUAAAAAAGCAUCGAUGGGAAACUGAUUGAACACCGCCGAGUGUUCAAGGGAUCUACAAUCCGGCAUGAAUUAAGGGAAUUGAUUUGGAGUCAAUAUCCUGGUCUUUGGUUUAGCAACCCUCUCACACCCUGACGAGGGAUGAUUUCGCUAGGUGUGGUGCCCUGGGGAUUUGAGGACCCCCGAAAGACUGCGGGUCGGUGACCCAAGGUUAGAGUUCCUUAAAAACCGUGUUUGAUUUCCUAGGCAUAGUGCAGCCCUUGCGAGGUGCUGGGAUGCAGUAAAAUUAAACAGCGUGCUUUGGGAGUGUGGAGGGGGAGAGAGACGAGUGAUUAAAUAGAUAAAUGAAAUGUGUUGAGAAAUGCACUUUAAGAAAUACGUUUUGGAAGUACGUUCUAAGGAAUUGAGAACGCAGACAGGUUAAAGCAUAAACUUGCGAAUAUAAUAAUUGAGUCUGAGAGGUUAAAAUAAACUCACAAACGCAUUAACUCCGGAAGGUUAGUAUAAACUUUCGGCAUAAAUGAAGUCUGCGAGACUAACAUAAGCUCGCGGACACAAACAUUUUCUCUGAAAGGUUAGUAUAAACUUUCAGAACAUAGCUGUCUGCUCCGGUAAAAUACAUACAAACUGGUUGACUGCUGUUAAAUGGAAGAUGAAUUUGAUGGAGAAGUGGAGGACGGCGGCUGGGGGCCAGCGCCGGGGUAUGAAUGGAAAAUAAUAAAUGACCAACUGAGGCUGCUGUUGGUGGCGGUGAGUGGAGAUACCUGAAAGGUGUAAUUCGGAAAAAACACCUCCAUACGAGGGAAGAAAAAAAAAAAAAAAAAAAAGGAGAGACAGAUUCUCAACCAACAAUCCUGCAGCUGCAGGGCCACUGUCUAAGCUCUCCAAGCUAUUACUACAAUUUUGAUUUAAAAAUAGUAGAAUUGUAGACAUGCAUUGAAGAAAGAAAAAUAAGAUUUAAAGUCUUUAAAGCAACAACGGCUAGAAUAAGAGUCAUAAAUCUCAUAAAGGAUUUAAGGGUUUUAUGGGAGUAACAAGGUCACAGCAGUGAGAAGAUGUGUGGGAGCAACGGUGGAGGCCAAUAAGGCUGGACAGGUUUUAUACCUCCUCACUUGGAGGAACUCAAGCAAAUUCAAGAAGCACACACACAUACUGUUGAAUAAAGUUAAUCCUGAGUGCAAUUAUUUCUUAGUGAUAUGAUUAAGUUUAUGCAUCUUUCUUGAAUACCAGGAUAUAUAAAGAAUAAAGAGGAUCAAUUUUCCUUUUGUUUUUCAGUUUAGAUAUAGUUUUAGAAUAAGCUCAUCAUUACUGGGAUGUCAAAGGUCUGUCAAAAACCUUUACAUGACCAAGCGGAUUGU